rnacentral:lncRNA from 1 species
UUAAAUGACUGUGAUAUUUAUAUGCCUUCAUUGUGAUAUUUACACUGCUCUUUCAUUUUAAGUUUAUGAGCAUAUUUUAAAAAUGUAUUUUCUUUAAGUUGGCAGCUCGUACUGCUGAAAGAACCCUCACUGAUUUAAGGAAAGAAAAUGCUUACCACAGACAAAAAUUAACCGAAACAGAGUUUAAAUUUGAACUUUUAGAAAAAGAUCCUUACGCACUUGAUGUUCCAAAUACAGCAUUUGGCAGAGAGCAUUCCCCAUAUGGUCCCUCACCAUUUGGUCGACCUUCGUCUGAAACGAGAGCUUUUCUCUCUCCUCCAACUUUGUUGGAGGGUCCACUCAGACUCUCACCUUUGCUUCCAGGGGGAGGAGGAAGAGGUAUAUUGUUUAAACAUUUUUAUUACUCUAGGUUUCUUCCUUCCUUUGUAUUUUUAUCUUUAAAGUGAUUUGUAAGAUAAACAUUUGGAAAAUACAGGCAUUCCUUGCACUUAUUGAGG